rnacentral:rRNA from 1 species
ACAGCAGUAGCCGCGGGAAUACGAAGGGUGCAAGCGUUACUCGGAAUUACUGGGCGUAAAGCGUGCGUAGGUGGUGGUUUAAGUCCGUUGUGAAAGCCCUGGGCUCAACCUGGGAAUUGCAGUGGAUACUGGGUCACUAGAGUGUGGUAGAGGAUAGUGGAAUUUCCGGUGUAGCAGUGAAAUGCGUAGAGAUCGGAAGGAACAUCUGUGGCGAAGGCGACUAUCUGGGCCAACACUGACACUGAGGCACGAAAGCGUGGGGAGCAGACAGGAUUAGAUACCCCCGUAGUCCCUGUCUAUUAUAC